CAAAGGGAGCAUGGGGAAACUGAACCCAGGUCUCUGAUGGCCCAGGCUAGCGCCUUAUCCACUGCACCAUCCUUUCCCUACUCCCUUCAGAACUCAGCCUACAGAACCCUUGCAUUUACACAAAACUACUUGACACAGGCCAGCCUGGAGCGCACACACUUACAGCAAGAACACAUAUGCAGGAUUUGGAUGGAGGAGGAAAAUAGAAAUGAAACUUCUUGCACAGUAGUACAGAAAACGUGUCUGAAGGAUAAAAGCAACAGGAAACAGACACCAAGACAAAUCGAGUUCCAGUGAGCAUUUAUUGAGCUUAAUCAACAAAAUCAGGAUUUUAUCAUUCAUCUUUUCUGUACUCUGAACUCAGUGAAGAUUUUCACAUAGUCACAGCCUUCCAACACACAUGUACAUACAGAUAUACACAUUCCCAAGGAAAAAACUCAGCUCUACUGGACAGUUUGCCAAUUAAACAAAAAGCCAAUUUUUCCCCUCCCUCCCUUGAAUGUUCCAAAAUUCUAGUCCACCCUGUUCACUUAUCAGUGGAACACAGCCCUUUUAACAGGGGACAAAUGGAUUAUAAACUCAUUUGAACUGCAAACAAAAUUUUUUUUAAAUAAGUUCCAGUUUGUUUCAAUAAAGGGAACAGUGACUAUUUUUCUCCAGACACCCCUUCCCCACAAUUAAUGGUUAAAAUACAGCAAGCCUGUAUCUUAGUAUACCCUAUCCCUCCCCCCUCCCAUUCCCAAUUUUGUCUACACAAGAAUUUAAUAAUGCUUCAAAUA